rnacentral:rRNA from 1 species
UACGUAGGGGGCUAGCGUUGUCCGGAUUUAUUGGGCGUAAAGAGCGUGUAGGCGGCCAGGUAGGUCUGCUGUGAAAACUCGAGGCUCAACCUCGAGACGUCGGCGGAAACCAUCUGGCUAGAGUCCGGAAGAGGAGAGUGGAAUUCCUGGUGUAGCGGUGGAAUGCGCAGAUAUCAGGAGGAACACCGAUGGCGAAGGCAGGUCUCUGGGCAUUAACUGACGCUGAGGAGCGAAAGCAUGGGGAGCGAACAGG